rnacentral:rRNA from 1 species
GGGGGUGAAAGGCCAAUCAAACCGGGAGAUAGCUGGUUCUCCCCGAAAGCUAUUUAGGUAGCGCCUCGUGAAUUCAUCUCCGGGGGUAGAGCACUGUUUCGGCUAGGGGGCCAUCCCGGCUUACCAACCCGAUGCAAACUGCGAAUACCGGAGAAUGUUAUCACGGGAGACACACGGCGGGUGCUAACGUCCGUCGUGAAGAGGGAAACAACCCAGACCGCCAGCUAAGGUCCCAAAGUCAUGGUUAAGUGGGAAACGAUGUGGGAAGGCCCAGACAGCCAGGAUGUUGGCUUAGAAGCAGCCAUCAUUUAAAGAAAGCGUAAUAGCUCACUGGUCGAGUCGGCCUGCGCGGAAGAUGUAACGGGGCUAAACCAUGCACCGAAGCUGCGGCAGCGAACGUAUCAC